rnacentral:rRNA from 1 species
UACGUAGGGACCAAGCGUUGUUCGGAUUUACUGGGCGUAAAGGGCGCGUAGGCGGCAAUUCAAGUCAUCUGUGAAAUCUCCGGGCUUAACCCGGAACGGUCAGAUGAUACUGCUUUGCUAGAGUGCGGAAGGGGCAAUCGGAAUUCUCGGUGUAGCGGUGAAAUGCGUAGAUAUCGAGAGGAACACCUGAGGUGAAGACGGGUUGCUGGGCCAACACUGACGCUGACAGCGCGAAAGCCAGGGGAGCAAACGGG